UAUAGGGAUACACGGGUAGUUUUAACCACCCAUUCCUAUUUGAAAUUGAUUUGCUUCAAUGUUCAUUCUGAAUUAUAUAAUGAAGAUGAACAAAUUAUUUGCAUUGUAAUAUUUAACAGCAAUGAUCAGGCAACAGUUAAGCAGAUGAACAACAGUGAGCUUGUUAAGUGGUAAAUCUAAGCUAAGCUAAGCUAAGCUAAGUUAGCUAGCUAUUCAAUGGGGUUUAUGUACAGCUAGUGCUUUUCCAUUUCAUAAGGUUCCUUUUACAGCAUUGCUGAUGUAAUGUAAUGAACUGUUUAUAUAUAAUACUGUACAUAAAUACUAAUAUUUGUUUGCUUCAUUUUUCAGUUUAAUGAAGAAAACUUUCGCAGUGUUUUCCCACUAAAGAGGAGCAGUUUAUUGAGGCAGAUUUUGAUAAAGAGAAUGGGUGCCAUACAUCAGACCUCACAUUAAAUCAGGGAUGAAACGAGAGAUGUCGUCCUCUGUUGCUGGUUUAUCUGUAUGAAUAAGAGGAAGAGCUCAUCCAGGAGUGCAAUUGUGGGAAUGCACAGAGAAUUGCUGUCUGUCAGAGGGAUGACCAACCAUGAGGACUUCUGCAUUGUCUUGGAGGAUAAGUGAGUCAUGGCUAGCCUGGAAAAUCUAGAAUCGCUGAACUGGAUUUAUACAAAUAUUCCACAAAUUAAAAUCACUUACAAAGAAAUGAAUAUUAAGUUUGCAAUACACAAAUUCUGUCAAAUAUUGUCUAAAAUGUGACUAUUCCUACAAAGGAAAGUUGACAGGUCAGUUUUUUCCAUGACAUGGAUAAAGGAAUUUUUAUCAGAGAUUAGCAUUGCUGUAAAUUUUAUAUAGAUUUGUUUAACAUAUUGUACCAUUUUGUUAUCAGUGUAACAUGUAAUAAAAUGAUAUUUGGCCUAAA